rnacentral:lncRNA from 1 species
GGGUUAGGAGUUAGGGAUUUAUGGUUUAGCCAGGGAUUUAGGCAGGUCGGGUUAGGGUAUUGGGUUUAGAUCUUACAUAUGUAAAUGGAAUAACAAAGCUUGGUGGACACUUGUAUGGAUUUAGGGUUUGGGAUUUAAGGUUUAGGGGUUAGGGGUUAGAAGUUAACAGUUAGGGACUUAGGGUUUAGAUCUUAAUUAGUUUUUU